CCGCCUCCAACUUCUGAACACAAUUUUACCCCCAAAUUCCUCAUCAACCCUCAUUUUACCGCAAAUUCCUCACCAACCCUCAUCUCCGCUGCCGGUGUCACAGUUGCGCUGCCGUCACUCCGUUUGCUCGCGCCGCCGUCGCGCUGUGUUGUUGCCGUGCUGUUGUCGCUCCUCUUGCUCGCGCCGCCCGUCGCUCCGCUGCUGCCGCGCUAUCAUCGCUCCUUCUCUCUGUUGCCGCCGUCGCUCCUCCUACUUUGGUCCUUCUCUGUUCUCUCUCAAUUGAUGGAUGCAUUGCUGGAAUUUCAGCAAUGGCCGUUACUGUUCAUCUCCCUUCUGAUUUUUCCCUCUACUUUUCUUUCUCUCAAAUACCAAAAGGUUACUUCUUACUUUGCUCUAAUCAUAGCUCUCUUUUAUUCUUUCUUUUUUUCAGUUUCAAAUUUUUUUUUCUUCUUUUAUGUUUCCGACUUCAACACCGGUUCCUGAGUUGAGAGCUCAAUUCAAUUCAAUUCACCACCGAAGUCAUGAAAUGGAAACAGUUUUUUGUCGUUUUCGGUGAUGAUUUUGUGAUUUCAUUUCAACGGUUGUGGCUUGUGGGAAGUUAUUGGUUGAGUUGAGAAAGCAUGGGAAAUGGAAAUAAGCAGGGGAGGAGGAAGAAGAGGAGGAGUUUGAAGAACAUGAUGCAGUGCCUGUGCUCAGGGGAGCAGUUGAGAUGAGAAGGAGGCAUGGAUGAGAUGGCAGUUCAAAGGAGGUUGGAUGCAGGAAAUAUCAAAGAAGCUGAAUCGUCGUUGCGUGAGGCUGGCUGCUUGAAUUAUGAGGUAUUUUCUAUAGUAAUGGUUCAUCAUUGGAUGCAAUAGCAGAUACUGACUGAUGUAGUUAGUGGUACUUAGUGGGAAAAUUUUUCCAGUUUCUUUCUUGUUCUAACUAGUUCUGAAACCAAGACUAGUUGAGUGAAAUCGUCUACUACUACAAGUGUAGAACUAGCUUGCUUGCUUGUUUGUUUUUGGUUGCCAGAAUCACUUUGACCAAGAAAGAAUCAUUGAAUGGCACCAAACAAGAGAGGAUCAUCAAGCUAUGAGGGUAAUGAUGAGAGAGACCUUCAGCUCCCUCUUUGUAAACGAAAAGUAGCACUACCAGACACCCGGUACCUCUCUUCUCUUGAUUCCACCAAUGACAUGGCGUUGAUCUUGGAACCUGUAAUUCGGAAAGUGUUACAGGAGAUGAUGCCACCUAUACUAGAACAGGUGAUGCCACGUAUGCUGGAACAGGUGAUUCCACCUAUACUGCAGCGUUACCUACCUUCCCCCAUGUGAUGGAUUAUCGGUCAGGGGGCAGAUUAGUCUAGCAGCUGGUAGAGGCAGAUCAUUGCAGUUAUGUCUGAUGAAAAGGGUUGCCUGCAACCAUUUUCACACAGAUCAACAUCACAGCAGAGGACAGUUCCCCGCUCCAGGUUGCAGUGUGUGAUGCCACAAUUCAGAACACCAAGGUAACAAAGGGAGAUGGUCCCUCCUUGAAGGUGCAGCUGUGUGUCCUGAAGGCUGAUUUUGAAAGUGAGGAUUGGACUGCUGAGGAAUUUAAUAGCAACAUAGAAAGUCCAAGAGAAGGAAAAGGACCAUUACUCAAAGGAGACACGGUUAUUACCAUGGUGAAGCACUUCAUGCUGCCCAAAAACGCGAGCCUAAGGGACGCUUCCGCCGCGGAGCUCCCCAAACAGAGGCCGAGCAACUCUCGCAAGCACAAACCCUCAAAAGAGAAUGACCCUCCCUCAGAUCCCAAUAUUUUCGCUGUCGCCGCUUCCGAUUCAAAGCCUUCGCCGGCCAAAUUGAAGAGCCCCCUGCCUCCAAGACCUCCUUCUUCCAAUCAACUGAAGAGGAAGCUCAGCGCCGAUGCUUUUGCUGACAACUCGGUCCCCACCGGAUCCUCCGAUUCCGGUGUUAGGGUUGUUGUGAGGAUGAGGCCACUGUGCAAGGACAAGGAUGAAUAGGAUCCUAUAGUUCAGAAGAUCUCUGAUGAUUCGGUGUCGAUGAAUGGCUAGACUUUCACCUUCGAUUCGGUUGCAGAUAUGGAAGCUACGCAAGCAUGGUUUAACUUUCUAUUUGACCCAAAAUUUGAUUAUCUGUAGUGUUUUUAUCUUCUUUUGUUCUUGUAAUAAUGCAUAGAAAAUGAGAAGGGUAGUUAUGAUAAUGUAUACUGAUAGCUAUAGUGAUUGGAAAAGAAAAACUGUAGAAAGAAUUUGAAAAGAAAUGAUUUAGUUAAUUAAUGAGGAUAGGAUUUUCAGAGCCUCGCACUGGUGAUUGUCUUUGUCUUUUUCUCUACACUACUAAUGAUAUGAUAUGAUACAUCAAAUAGUAUGUAGUGCUUUGAUUCCUGA